AUGAAUUUCUUCAUCGUCUUCAUCUGGAUUCUGGGAGUUUUUAUUCCAGAAUCCAGAGGAGUUACUGUAACUCAGAGUAAAGCUCAAUCUGUUUCUGUUGGACAAACCGUCAAUAUAAAGUGUACAACUGAUACUGGAAUAUAUGACUGGGGUUUAUAUUGGUAUCAGCAGAAACCUGGAGAAGCUCCUAAACUCCUCAUUUAUGCAGCAGAUGCUCGUUAUAGUGGCAUUUCACAGAGAUUCAGUGGCAGUGGAGCAAAAGGUGGUAAAGAUUUUACUCUGAGCAUCAGUGGAGUUCAGCCUGAAGAUGCAGGAGAUUAUUACUGUAAGAGUAUACACAGCAUCAGUGGUAGCUAUGUGUUCACACAGUGA